UCAUCAGGCAGUUGAGCCCUCCAGCCUCUCUUGAAAAGCAGCAGCAUUAGGAAGAGCAGGUCUGUCAAUGCUCAGCUUUACGUGAUUUUUUCCCAGCUUGCUUUGCUACGAUCACCAUAACAGACAUGGACUGUAGUUGUUUUCAUUUCAGCUCUAAUCUGUUCUCACUGAGGAGCUUUCUCCUCACCUUCUUAGCUCUGGAUCUUCCUCCUACUCAAAUUUGGCAGCGCUGUCGUGAUUACACAGAGCAGCAAAGCUUCACUGAAGUGCUGCGUCAUGAAUUCUGACCUGAAGCUUUGAAUCCAUCUGCCACAGCUCUGCUGCAAAGCUGGCUUGAGCCAGUUCCAAGUGGAAGCCCAAGGAGGUUUACAAGCAACACAGAUGUUCACAGAACCAACAGUUUCCCAGCUAUAUACACAGCAUUCUAUUAAAUGACAUCUGCCCUUGAGGAACUCACCACCAUGACGCAUCUUGGCCUCAGCUCCCUGCUGGAGGGACCGUGCCCAGGAGCCACACGAGGGACUCUGAUGGGCUGAGUAAGUUUACACUCCUGCUCUGCGUGCACCAAGAGGACAGCAGGAUGCAGAAGUGGGGGCAGAAUUAUGCUUGGUGAUCCCACAGACUUCCAGCUGAGACAUGCCAGGAUGCACAGCCUAGUUCAUCUUGACAGCCUGAGGAGAAGGGCUGACCUUUGACUUGCUCUGCAGACAACACCAGCCAGACUAUUUUCUUCUGAAAACAGCUUGGUCUUGACAAAACGGAAGCUGACAGCUCACUUGAUGCACAGAAAAUGCACCCAGCUCCAUCCACACCACUAUGAGGCUUUGGGAGAAGCUCUGGCACACAGCUCAGCUUGUUCAAGUAGAAAAUAUAGGACAAAUCUGAACACCAUUUCAGAUAAGGCUUCAAAAAUCACCAGUUAGCAAUUAAAAUACUGCAAGGUAGACCGGCCUUCUCCUGCAUCUGCCACUGGACAUCUAGCAGGUGAAGCAGUGUCAAGGAGAAAAAAUUCAGCGUGGUUUACAUCAGAAGGGAGAUGGCCCACAGCCUCAGAAGGCCCCUGUAUUGGCUGGUGAGCAACAAAUCUGGGUCUCAUCUAUCUCCCUUUAAAUUGGUGUGAUUUGAGAGGGAGGUAAUUAGAAUCCUAGAAUCACAGAGUGUCCUGAGUUGGAAGAAUCAUCGAGUCCAACUCCUGUCCCUGCACAGGACAACCCCACAGUUCACACCAUGUGUCUGAGGGUGUUGUCCAGUCUCCUCUUGAACACUGUCAGGCUUGGGGCUGUGACACCUCCCUGGGAGCCUGUUCCAGGGCCCCACCACCUUCUAGGGGAAGAAUUACACCAUAUAAAAAUGUUACAGUUACAAUGAUGCAUAACAAAGUUAUUGUAGACUUCGAUAUUGAGAUGAAAAAUGGUCACAAGGUGACCAUUCUCUACUGUGUUUGGCAGGAAAAAAAAAAAAAAAAGUAUUGGUGGGUUGCUUUAUUAAUUUGGCCUUUUUUUAUUCAGUUUUCAGAACAGCUUUUAUCAGUUCCUCAAUGGCUCUUGAUUCAUCAUACCAAUCUGCACAAGUAAGUUUGAGAAGAAAAAAAAAAAUCCCUAUAUCCACAGAAUUCAUUAUCAACAAGAAAUACAGUGAACUUGGAUAUCUAGCUCCACAUGCCAAAAGCACUUACAGAAUGUUUUAAUCCUAAAAUUAAUAUCAUCACACAGUGACGGACCAACAUGCUGGCAAGUGCUUUUGCUCUAAAAAUAAGCAGAAAUGCAGCAGUCUUUUAAAAAUGACAUAUUACAUGAUAACAUGUAACAUGCCAGUAUUGUGAUAUUCUUACAGCUAUGGUCAGAGAAGAAAUUUGAAAUGUGCCUUCUCCUAAAAAAAAUCUUAGACUAAAGGGACUCAAAGCACCAGUACUGAAGUGCCAGAGAGGUGCUAGACUACCAAAUCCUCACAGACAGCUUUUAACUCCUGCUUGUCUGAGUUCGCAAUGGCAGAAAGAGACUGAACCCACUGGAGCAUUCCUCUUUCUUCUGGGCUAUUUCAUUCGAAGCCUCAUUCAAUUUUUAUGUUUUUAAACAAGUUGCAACAAAAACUUUGUGUUACUGCCCACUAGCCAAAGGGAAAUGCUUCCUCCUAUUUCACUCAUAGACUUGUAUGAACCACUAUGAUUUUAUUUAUGAAUUUGAAUCAUAGAAUCAUAGUAUCAUUUUAGUUGGAAGAGACCCCAAGAUCAUUGAGUCCAACCAGCAACCUAACUCAGGCACUAGAAAUACAUGCUAUGAAGAAAGGUACUAACCAGUGUCCAGAGAGUACCUAGCUGGAUUUAUUGAAUGUUCAGGAACACUCUAUCUCAUCAUGCUGUUUGUGAUGCAGCCUGUAUCUCCUCACUCUUUCACCAGUACAGGGAUAAUGGUGUCACAGAUUUAAAAAGCGUGUUCAGAUGGAUGCAAACGUCUGCCUAUUUUACUGUUGAAAUAAAUUCUACUCAAAA